GACGAACGCUGGCGGCGUGCUUAACACAUGCAAGUCGAGCGGAAAGGCCCUUCGGGGUACUCGAGCGGCGAACGGGUGAGUAACACGUGAGUAACCUGCCCCAGACUUUGGGAUAACCCUCGGAAACGGGGGCUAAUACCGGAUACGACACAGCUUCGCAUGGGGUCUGUGUGGAAAGUUUUUCGGUUUGGGAUGGGCUCGCGGCCUAUCAGCUUGUUGGUGGGGUGAUGGCCUACCAAGGCGACGACGGGUAGCCGGCCUGAGAGGGCGACCGGCCACACUGGGACGGAGACACGGCCCAGACUCCUACGGGAGGCAGCAGUGGGGAAUAUUGCACAAUGGGCGGAAGCCUGAUGCAGCGACGCCGCGUGAGGGAUGACGGCCUUCGGGUUGUAAACCUCUUUCAGCAGGGACGAAGCGUAAGUGACGGUACCUGCAGAAGAAGCGCCGGCCAACUACGU
rnacentral:rRNA from 1 species